rnacentral:rRNA from 1 species
UGGGGAAUUUUGCGCAAUGGGGGAAACCCUGACGCAGCAACGCCGCGUGCGGGACGAAGGCCCUCGGGUCGUAAACCGCUUUCAGCAGGGAAGACCACGACGGUACCUGCAGAAGAAGCUCCGGCUAACUACGUGCCAGCAGCCGCGGUAAUACGUAGGGGGCGAGCGUUAUCCGGAUUCAUUGGGCGUAAAGCGCGCGUAGGCGGCCGCCUAAGCGGAACCUCUAACCCCGGGGCUCAACCUCGGGCCGGGUUCCGGACUGGGCGGCUCGAGUGCGGUAGAGGAGAGCGGAAUUCCCGGUGUAGCGGUGGAAUGCGCAGAUAUCGGGAAGAACACCGAUGGCGAAGGCAGCUCUCUGGGCCGUCACUGACGCUGAGGCGCGAAAGCUGGGGGAGCGAACAGG